CGUGCAGCGCCUCCAUGUGGAUUUGAUACCGACCCUGAUAUCAAUUUCCCCACAUUAAACCCAGCAUAUAUGAGGUUAAAACCAAAGCACUCAUUCCCCACUUACUCUCUGGCUUCCGGGCUCCAGAAUCCAUUAUCCUCCAUGGAGACAGACACCGUCAAGGACAAGCACCUGGAUUAUCUCCUCCCCACAAAGAGAUACAGGCUGGUGGGAAAGCUGCUGACCAGCAAGGUCACGGGCUCCCUCCUCUCUGCAAGUAGUCUCAAGGCCAAAGACAGGCUGGUGGGAAAGCUCCGACCAGCAAGGCCAUAUGCUCCCCCUCCCCUACCUAAAGCCCCAAAUAAAAACCCUUCCUUUUAGCUUUUCGGGGAGUUUGGGAUUUCAGCGUUAGCUGCCCUCUCUUCUUGCUCAGCGCUGUGCAAAAAUAGAAUUCCUACUUUCUUCCACCACCCCCGGUGUCAGAGAUUAGCUUGCUGCGCAACGGGACCGGCCGGAAAUAAUGGGUACCUUGGCAGCCCUCUGGGCUCUGUUUGUUUUGAAGUCGCCGCGACGCCCCGGCCAAAUUUUGAGUUAAGAAAACCUUUUUCUCUAUUCUCUUAAAGAACUAUGACUUACAGGAAUUCAUAAACAAAAUUGAAACAUUUGUCUUUUCCUCCCUAUCUGAGCCCUCCAAAACGUAAAAACCCCUGAUGAGUAAGUAUUCUUAUUCUUAUGGCAAUAUAGUUGUUUGCAUAAGUACAAUAAGAAUCUGUUCUUCUUUUAACAGGACACAAUUGGAAACACUAUUUAUAUUACCAAGGCAUUGACUGGAACAUCAUAUUUGAAAAAACAUACAGGCUUAAAUAUAACAAGACAGGUUUUGAGGAAUGAAGGUUGACAUUCUGGAAUAAAGCCACUUGAAAAUAUUGGCCUGGUACUGUGCUUAUGGGUUCUGUAACCUGGUAAGGUUGAGCAAAGAAUGUCGCUCCUUUUGGCAGGUACAAGGAACCUCAAUAUUUUGGGGAACCUCAUGAAGAGAGGGAUUCGCCCAAAUCUGCAGGUACUGCAGGCAGAAUCUGAUAACAGGUCCUUUGCUUGGCUUUCCUUGAGAGGCCUUUAAAGAUCAACCUGAGAUUCGUUAUAAGAUUCCAGCAAAGCAGAUUUAAAAGAGCCUGUGUGAUCAAUUACUAUUCUUGCUGUACUUAUGUAAAUAAUUAUGCCAAAUUUAUUAAAACUAAACAUUGUUCAAAUCAGUUAGUCUUAAUUUGGCUAUGUCUAGUAAAAUUGAGGGUGAUUUUCAGGAGGAAAAUUAUGUUUCAAUAGAAACUAUAAUACAUGUUUAUAAAUAUUGGAUCUUAGUUUUUUCAACUAUCUUUGAAAUUUUUGUUUUACUUCUGUUAACUGGACUGGAUCUUGAAUUCUUCAUCUCCUGAAAUAUCUGGCUAAAAACGUCCAAACUAACAUUUUCAGGUUUUUUCCCCAUUAUUUUCAUUUGGAGUCAUUGAAAACUAAAUCUGCCCUUUUUCCUAAAGCCUUACAAACUGAAGCUGGAGGACCUAAUAUAAACUUAAGAGAGAUUCAUGUCUACUGCUGUGUAAGCCACUCAAAAAGCUACCUGAGUGCCCAAUGACACCAUCAGAGACAUUUCAAACUGCAAAAGAUGCUUUGACCCUGACUUCUAGGAAUCUUGAUUGGCUGCCCCCUGGGCUCAAAAGCUGGUUUAUAAUUUGCUCCAACCAUUAACCUUGUUUUUCUCUUUUUGUUUCUUUAGAAAAACUUCUUAUUAAAUAACUGGUUACUUACUUAUAUGAUACAGGCCUAACUUAAGGAGCCCACCAGCAUCACUGCCUUAUUUAAAGACUGGUUCAAUGAGAUGAAACAACCUACACCCCAUUUCAGCAGGAAGUAGCUAGAUCGGUCAUCACCCCAAAUCCCUCAAGAUUGAAGGAUGGACAUAAAAGAGGGGGGAGUUGAUACCGAUCCUGAUAUCAAUUUCCCCACAUUAAACCCAGCAUAUAUGAGGUUAAAACCAAAAUACUCAUUCCCCGCUUACUCUCUGGCUUCCGGGCUCCAGAAUCCACUAUCCUCCAUGGAGACAGACAGCGUCAAGGACAAGCACCUGGACUAUCUCCUCCCACAGAGAUACAGGCUGGUGGGAAAGCUGCUGACCAGCAAGGUCAUGGGCUUCCUCCUCUCUGCAAGUGUCUCAAGGCCAAAGACAGGCUGGUGGGAAAGCUCCGACCAGCAAGGUCACGGGCUUCCUCCUCUCUGCAAGUGUCUCAAGGCCAAAGACAGGCUGGUGGGAAAGCUCCGACCAGCAAGGCCAUAUGCUCCCCCUCCACUACCUAAAGCCCCAAAUAAAAACCCUUCUUUUUAGCUUUUCAGGGAGUUUGGGAUUUCAGCGUUAGCCGCCCUCUCUCCUUGCUCAGCACUGUGCAAAAAUAAAGUUCCUACUUUCUUCCACCA
ensembl:lncRNA